rnacentral:rRNA from 1 species
CGCUGGCGGCGUGCCUAACACAUGCAAGUCGUACGAGAAAGUCCCCUUCGGGGGAUGAGUAAAGUGGCGCACGGGUGAGUAACGCGUGGAUAAUCUGCCCUUUAGUUAGGAAUAACCCAUCGAAAGGUGGACUAAUACCCAAUGAUGCUAGCCUGUCUCGGCGGGUUAGCCAAAGGUGGCCACUCCUUGGAAGCUACCGCUAAAGGAUGAGUUCGCGUACCAUUAGCUUGUUGGUGGGGUAAUGGCCUACCAAGGCGACGAUGGUUAGCUGGUCUGAGAGGAUGAUCAGUCACACUGGAACUGAGACACGGUCCAGACUCCUACGGGAGGCAGCAGUGAGGAAUUUUGCGCAAUGGGGGAAACCCUGACGCAGCGACGCCGCGUGAGUGAGGAAGGCUUUCGGGUCGUAAAGCUCUGUCAGAUGGGAAGAAAUGUAGUAAAGUUAAUAUCUUUUCUGCUUGACGGUACCAUCAGAGGAAGCACCGGCUAACUCCGUGCCAGCAGCCGCGGUAAUACGGGGGGUGCAAGCGUUGUUCGGAAUUAUUGGGCGUAAAGAGCGUGUAGGCGGCUGGACAAGUCAGAUGUGAAAGCCCUGGGCUUAACCCAGGAAGUGCAUUUGAAACUGUCUUGCUUGAGUAAGGGAGAGGAAAGUGGAAUUCCUGGUGUAGAGGUGAAAUUCGUAGAUAUCAUGAGGAACACCGGUGGCGAAGGCGACUUUCUGGCUCUAUACUGACGCUGAGACGCGAAAGCGU